AAAAAACCUUUCAGAAUUAGGGUUUUCAAUUACCUAAAUCACCAUCAGAUCAUCAUCACCACCAUCCACCUAGAAAUUAAAACUUUCCCAAAAACAAAAUCAUCAACCCAAUUUCUUUAACUCUUGUUUUCGUAUCACUUCUGCUUCUGCUGCCAGUUAUGAUUUGAAAUUUUUUGUAAAUUCAACGAAGAAAUUAGCUGUUGAAGGAAUUACUUCUAGUUCUUGAUUGGGUGUUUGGAUGGAAGCUCUUUCAUUUGAGAUUACAGGGAAAAAUUUAAGCAAAGGUUCUAUUUCAUAAUUUUUCUCGAAUUUCCCUAAACCCUCCAUCUCUCUUUAUAACCCUAAAUCAUUCAAGCAAGUUCUUUCUAACCCAAACCCCAGUUAAGUUUCAAAUGCACACUUGUGAAGAAAAGAAAGAAAAAGAUUGUUUUUCAUUGAAGUAUCAUCAAUUUUUUGUAGUUUGGGGUUUCUUUGUGCAAUGUUAUUUGUGGAGUUUUCAAUUGGCAGUGACAAUAUUGAAAAAGAUUUUGCAUAUAUGGGUUUAGUUACAGAAUUUUUAAUUGUGCUGGAAGGAAAUUUUCAAGUGAAAGGUUUUCCAGGAGCAACAUGUAUUCAGUGGGUAGCUAUUGAUUACAACAACUUCAACUUCUUAUCAACAAGAUCAAAUAAUCAACAACAGUAAUAACAAAUUCAACAUCAAUCCAACAGCAUUAGCAACUUCCGGGUAAAAUCAACAUUCAUAUGGCUUAGUUGUGUGAUAUAUUUCCCAUAACUACUGGCUUGAUCACAUUGCCAAGACAGUUUCCUUCAGUUCUUUGAUGUUUACAUGCUUCCAUUACUACUUUUCAAGGGCUUGCUGGGUUAGCAAUUGGAUUAUCGAAAAAGGUUCAACGAUUUCUACUUCAUCAUAUUGUGUAUAAGUAAUUCUGCAAUUACUGCUAUUUGCGUUUCUAGAACUGUUGGGUAACCUUGAUGCCACAACUGGUGCUACUUCUUCACCUUGGAUUCUAGUUACCGGAGAUCAUACUUUUGUUGUGUAACUUCUUCAUUUGAUGCUGCUUAUCCUUCAUCAACUGUUGGCUGUUCUUUUCUGCUGUACAUGGUGAGAGUGGUACAUUUUUCAUAUUGCAGUCCACUGUUGCCAAUAGUUCUGCCUUAACUAUUUCUUCAACAAGUUCAGUCUUGGGACAUGGCGAUAAGGAGCUAAUAAAGGAUGGAUCUCCGCAGGUGGUUCAUGUUGUCUCUGAAGGACAAUUAGCAGAUGUUUUUACAAAGAGCCUUUGUUAUCCAACAUUCUCCAGAUUGUUGUCAAGUUUAGUUUGUUCUUCUGACACAGUGCAUGAUGCUGCUAAUAUUGGAAAUUCAGCUGACAAAUUUACUGAUAUUGCUGACGCUGGAACUGCAGUCAUUUGUUCAACUGUUACUUAGUCUAUUGUCUUUAUUUCAGUUGGCUCUUAUGAGUACUAUUUUCUUACACACAGACUCUUGUUGAGUAUGUGUUUCUUUUCUUUUCUGUGGUGGCUCUUGUUGAGCAUUUUUUGUUUUGUUUUUUUUUUGGUUUCAAACUGCUACUUGUUGUCAGUACAUUUUGAGGGGGAAUAUUAGGAUAUAUGUCUAGUCAAGAAUAGUUGACUUGACUGUCUGUAUGGUUGUCUGAGUAUAUAUACCUCUGUCCUGUAUUAUCCAAUGUACCGGAAAACAAUCUUAUUGUAAUAAUAUCUUCUUCUGUAA